ensembl:snRNA U6 U6 spliceosomal RNA
GUGCUCACUUUGGAAGCACAUAUACUAAAACUGGGACGAUACAGAGAAGAUUAGCAUGGUCCCUGUGCAAGAAUGGCAUGCAAAUUCAUGAAGCAUUCUAUAUUAAA